AUUGAACGCUGGCGGCAUGCUUUACACAUGCAAGUCGAGCGGUAACAGGCCGCAAGGUGCUGACGAGUGGCGAACGGGUGAGUAAUGCAUCGGAACGUGCCCAGUCGUGGGGGAUAACGCAGCGAAAGCUGCGCUAAUACCGCAUACGAUCUAUGGAUGAAAGCGGGGGACCGUAAGGCCUCGCGCGAGUGGAGCGGCCGAUGUCAGAUUAGGUAGUUGGUGGGGUAAAGGCCUACCAAGCCAACGAUCUGUAGCUGGUCAGAGAGGGCGACCAGCCACACUAGGACUGAGACACGGCCCAGACUCCUACGGGAGGCAGCAGUGGGGAAUUUUGGACAAUGGGCGCAAGCCUGAUCCAGCAAUGCCGCGUGCAGGAAGAAGGCCUUCGGGUUGUAAACUGCUUUUGUACGGAACGAAAAGGCUCUGGUUAAUACCUGGGGCUCAUGACGGUACCGUAAGAAUAAGCACCGGCUAACUACGUGCCAGCCGCCGCGGUAAUAC
rnacentral:rRNA from 1 species